AGGCUUACACAUGCAAGUCGAGCGGUAACAUUUCUAGCUUGCUAGAAGAUGACGAGCGGCGGACGGGUGAGUAACGCGUAGGAAUCUGCCUAGUAGUGGGGGACAACAUGUGGAAACGCAUGCUAAUACCGCAUACGCCCUACGGGGGAAAGGAGGGGAUCUUCGGACCUUUCGCUAUUAGAUGAGCCUGCGUGAGAUUAGCUAGUUGGUGGGGUAAAGGCCUACCAAGGCGACGAUCUCUAGCUGGUCUGAGAGGAUGAUCAGCCACACUGGGACUGAGACACGGCCCAGACUCCUACGGGAGGCAGCAGUGGGGAAUAUUGGACAAUGGGCGCAAGCCUGAUCCAGCCAUGCCGCGUGUGUGAAGAAGGCCUUAGGGUUGUAAAGCACUUUCAGGAGUGAGGAAGGGCGUAUAGUUAAUACCUGUAUGUUUUGACGUUAACUCCAGAAGAAGCACCGGCUAACUCUGUGCCAGCAGCCGCGGUAAUACAGAGGGUGCGAGCGUUAAUCGGAAUUACUGGGCGUAAAGCGUGCGUAGGCGGUUUGUUAAGUCGGAUGUGAAAUCC
rnacentral:rRNA from 1 species